rnacentral:rRNA from 1 species
CCUACGGGAUGCAGCAGUGGGGAAUAUUGGACAAUGGGCGAAAGCCUGAUCCAGCCAUGCCGCGUGUGUGAAGAAGGCCUUCGGGUUGUAAAGCACUUUCAGUGGGGAAGAAAGCCUUGGGGCUAAUACCCUCGAGGAAGGACAUCACCCACAGAAGAAGCACCGGCUAACUCCGUGCCAGCAGCCGCGGUAAUACGGAGGGUGCGAGCGUUAAUCGGAAUUACUGGGCGUAAAGCGCGCGUAGGCGGUCUGAUAAGCCGGUUGUGAAAGCCCCGGGCUCAACCUGGGAACGGCAUCCGGAACUGUCAGGCUAGAGUGCAGGAGAGGGAGGUAGAAUUCCCGGUGUAGCGGUGAAAUGCGUAGAGAUCGGGAGGAAUACCAGUGGCGAAGGCGGCCUUCUGGACUGACACUGACGCUGAGGUGCGAAAGCGUGGGUAGCAAACAGGAUCAGAUACCCCAGUAGUC